rnacentral:rRNA from 1 species
ACUAGGUGCCACCUAAUCCAGAAAAAAUAAAUUGAACUUUAAGAAAGUAGUGUGAGUCUGCUAAGCAGGGUCAGGCCUGGUUAGUACUUGGAUGGGAGACCACCUCGGAAGACCAGGUGCUGUAGGCG